AGACUUUUGAUAGAGAUCAAUGUCAAAGACUAAAGCUGGCCUCAGUUGACGAAGUACUGCCCCCUCCUGGUGCGAUCCAGUUCUCGUCAGUGACGUCAGAGUCUGUGUCUCAGAGCUGGGGUUCUCCUGAGGGACUGACGGGACCACAUCAUUUCAGAGUGACCUGGAGAUGUGAUGGAGAAGAGAGGAGCCUGAUGGUGGAAGAUGGGUGUAAUGUUGAAAUAGUUGGACUUCAGCCUGGUAAGAAGUACCAGUUCAGUGUGGCUACAGAGGGAGGAGAUGGCAGCCAAAGCAGAUGGGUCUCAUCAUCUGUAUUUACUGUACUUCCUGCUCCAGAACCGCUGACUGUUGAGCUCAGUGGACACCACAUCAGCUGUUGUUGCUGGAGCCAGCCACCAGGAU